UUGCAGAAUUUGAAGACCUCAACUUGCAGACUUGAAGAAUUUGAAGACUUAAACUUGCAGACUUGAAGAAUUUGAAGACUUAAACU
rnacentral:pre_miRNA from 1 species